rnacentral:rRNA from 1 species
GAUGAACGCUAGCGAUAGGCUUAACACAUGCAAGUCGAGGGGCAGCACGGUGUAGCAAUACACUGGUGGCGACCGGCGUACGGGUGCGUAACACGUAUGCAACCUACCCGCUAUUGGGGGAUAACCCGGCGAAAGUCGGACUAAUAUCCCAUAUUAUUCUUACCGGGCAUCCGGUGAGUCUGAAAGAUUUAUCGAUUGCGGAUGGGCAUGCGGAUGAUUAGCUAGUAGGUGGGGUAACGGCUCACCUAGGCGACGAUCAUUAGGGGUUCUGAGAGGAAGGUCCCCUACACUGGAACUGAGACACGGUCCAGACUCCUACGGGAGGCAGCAGUGAGGAAUAUUGGUCAAUGGGCGCUAGCCUGAACCAGCCAAGUCGCGUGAAGGAUGACAGAUCUAUGGUUUGUAAACUUCUUUUGCAGGGGAGUAAAGUGCGACACGUGUGUUGUAUUGCAAGUACCCUGCGAAUAAGCAUCGGCUAACUCCGUGCC